rnacentral:lncRNA from 1 species
CUGGGUGGGGCGGCGCGCGCCCGUGCGUGACGAAUGGGCCGGUUCGGCCCAAAGUGGCCGGGCCGGUCCGUUUCUCCCUUUUUUUUCUUUUAGCCUUUUCUUUUUCUGCUUUCCUCAUUUCUUUGGUAUCUUUUGAGUUUGAACUCCAAAUUGGUCCAAAUAAAAUCUAGAAAAUUUGUAAAAUCAUGUCCUACCGUGAUACAACUUUUGGAAGUAGUUUCUCUUCAAAAUAAAAUAUAUAAAAAUAGAUUUGCCCUAUAAAUGCCUUUAGGACCAUAUAUCUAUUUAAUUAAAAUACUUUUUUUCAACUCCAAAUAAUUAUCCAAAAAUUAUGGGAUAGCUUAUAUAUGCAUUAAACCCCUUUUAUGCAUAAACCCUAUUGGUUUUGAAAAUUCCAAAGCUCAAAUGGGUGUAAACCAAAUCUUUUAAAGCCUUUUGAGAUUCAAAAUUUGAAUUCAAGUAUGCAAUUGUGGCAUGAUGUUCAUGGAUGCAAUGCCCAUGUAAAAGUUUGAAAUUUUGGGAUGUUACACUUGCAUUGCUGUCGGCCAGUAG